UGAAUGUGCUUGUUGGCCGCCCAGCUCCACAUCCUGAAGCAGCCAGUGAAAUACUCCCCAUCGCCUCUGUCUGAAGUCAUGAGGACACCGUGGGCUGUGUUUGCUGUAGUGCCCUGGUAAGCUUUGCUCACUGUCCUUUGGAGUAGGAGCCUGCACUGCAAGAGGAGGAGGUGGCUGAGCAGAGCUCGGAUGUUCUCAAGUGAAAUGGCAAGCAACUUCUUGUGGAUUCUUAGUAAAACAGACAUUUGAAUGGUAAAUUAAACCUAAAUACCUGCCAGAAUACUUGUAUUGAGGUGAUUGACUUUUAUGGGCCACUGCCAGAAGUUGGCAGAACAACUUUUUCAUGGAGUCUAAUGAACUCUCUCCAGGGAGCAGUACACUGUGGGCAGCUGAAGCCUGUGAGUUAAGAUGUGUCUCAGGGGAAGACAGGUCUCUUGGCUACAGAGCAGAGCCGGGUGACACCAGAAAACAUACUUAGCUGUAAAAUCUAAUGGAAGGAGCAAGACAUCCCUGCUCUCGGCCCUUGAUUCUUGGCAGUGUGGAUUACAAAAUGCUGCUUAGAGGAUGUGGAUUAGGAGAGAUGUUAACUACGUGUACUGUCACUGUUUCCAUUGCCUCAUUAUUACACACGGUGUUUCACACUGAUUUGACAUUGUCUCUGCCCUAAGGAGCUUGAAAUCUGAAGGCAAAACCCUGUGACCGUGUGAAAUGCAAGCAUUUCAAGGCAGGCACUGCAAAGGGGAUUUGUGGGACUGUGAACAAAUGCAUUCUAUUCAACAUAUCAAAGCAGGGAGCAGGCAGGGAGGCAGAGGUAAACACCAGGAGCGGAAGAGGAAGAUAACAGAAGAGCCCUAAUUGUUGCCAGCUUGAUUCCAGCCUCGUUCGCCCCAACAGAAUUCUCUGCAUCUUUGUCAGUGGAGGACUGUUCUACCCAGAGAGCUGGAGAGGAAGGAGACCAUUUCUUGCUGGGGCUUUGGCUCCCCAGCACAUGCCAUCAGCACUCCCUCUGCUCACUGAGCCCCAGCUCCUGUAUGCUGGUCACCAGGUGUGAGCGUAAGGCUGUUGAGGUCAUUUAGGUGCAUGCCAAGGAAGUGCCACUUGUCCAUCUUCCGAGGAAGGCUGCAGUCACCGGGUGCCUCCCACGCUGCUCAGCACAGCUGUGUUUGUGCACCCCAACAGCCACUCAGUCCUGCCCAUCACAGUCACACUUCAGCUUUUGAGACUCUUUUUGUGCUUUCUAGCAUGUUUCUUUGGGGCUUCAAUGUGAUUGCUGGUUUUGGGAAGAUUUUUAGCCACUGUACUAAGAAGUGAUAUGCAUCAGCACUGGGGAAGAGAGUUCCUGCAGGCCUGGUCUACAAAGAGUGGCCUGAAACUUCCUAAUUAUUUGCAGUAAGAAUCGAUGGACAACAAAGCUAUCCUCCAGGGGAAGAACUGGG
ensembl:lncRNA